AUGAUCUGACUGUAGCAUCUGUCAUUCCAUUGAUCACUAUGGUUGAUUCAGCUGAUAUGGCUGGUUAGAUGGUGUGCCCUCCUUCUU
rnacentral:snRNA from 1 species